rnacentral:rRNA from 1 species
UACGUAGGGUCCAAGCGUUAAUCGGAAUUACUGGGCGUAAAGCGUGCGCAGGCGGUUGUGCAAGACCGAUGUGAAAUCCCCGAGCUUAACUUGGGAAUUGCAUUGGUGACUGCACAGCUAGAGUGUGUCAGGGGGGGGGUAGAAUUCCACGUGUAGCAGUGAAAUGCGUAGAGAUGUGGAGGAAUACCGAUGGCGAAGGCAGCCCCCUGGGAUAACACUGACGCUCAUGCACGAAAGCGUGGGGAGCAAACAGGAUUAGAAACCCGCGUAGUCC